CGGUAACGCGGGGCAACCUGGCGACGAGUGGCGAACGGGUGAGUAAUAUAUCGGAACGUGCCCAGUAGUGGGGGAUAGCCCGGCGAAAGCCGGAUUAAUACCGCAUGAGACCUGAGGGUGAAAGCGGGGGAUCGCAAGACCUCGCGCUAUUGGAGCGGCCGAUAUCAGAUUAGCUAGUUGAUGGGGUAAAGGCCUACCAAGGCAACGAUCUGUAGUUGGUCUGAGAGGACGACCAGCCACACUGGGACUGAGACACGGCCCAGACUCCUACGGGAGGCAGCAGUGGGGAAUUUUGGACAAUGGGCGCAAGCCUGAUCCAGCAAUGCCGCGUGCAGGAAGAAGGCCUUCGGGUUGUAAACUGCUUUUGUCAGGGAAGAAAUCCUCUGGGUUAAUACCUCGGGGGGAUGACGGACCUGAAGAAUAAGCACCGGCUAACUCGUGCCACAGCCGCGGUAAUACGUAUGGUGCGAGCGUUAAUCGGAAUUACUGGGCGUACAAGCGUGCGCAGGCGGCUUUGCAAGACAGAUGUGAAAUCCCCGGGCUCAACCUGGGAACUGCAUUUGUGACUGCUCGGCUAGAGUACGGUAGAGGGGGAUGGAAUUCCGCGUGUAGCAGUGAAAUGCGUACAUAUACGGACGAACACCUAUGGCGAAGGCAAUCCCCUGGACUUGUACUGACGCUCAUGCACAAUAGCGUGAGUAGCAAACAGGAUUAGAUACCCUGGUAGUCCACGCCCUUAACGAUGUCUACUGGUUGUUGGACGGCUUGCUGUUCACUAACGAAGCUAACGCGUGAAGUUGACCGCCUGCGGAGUACGGCCGCUAGGUUAGAACUCCAAUGAAUUGACUGGA
rnacentral:rRNA from 1 species